rnacentral:rRNA from 1 species
GGGUUAGUAGGUUGGUCAUGCCUCUGGUAUGUACUGGUCUCACUGAUUCCUCCUUCCCGAUGAGCCGUAAUGCCAUUAAUUUGGUGUCGCGGGGAUUUGGACUGUUACUUUGAAAAAAUUAGAGUGUUUAAAGCAAGCUAACGCUUGAAUACGUUAGCAUGGAAUAAUGAAAUAGGACGUUCGAUCCUAUUUUGUUGAUUUCUAGGAUUGACGUAAUGAUUAAUA